UAAAAAGUAAUAAAUUGAUAAGCUCUAAGUGCUCAACGACCCAAAGUCAAUUUUAUGGCGUGGUUUUUUUUUUUUGUUGUCAUCCGUUGUUAUAUUGAUUUUAAACUAGAUUAGCCAAAAGACAUGUUACAACGGCUGUCGUAAUGAAACGACACUAUGAUCUAGAACCAACGGUUUAAAAAUACAACUCUGGAAACAUAAACUGGCGAUUGCACAAUUACAAUUCCAGAGAUAAAAUCAUACUCGGACACACUUAAACUAACAAGAAAGGACUACAAAGACAGCCAAUAACAUAAUAAGAGACCAACAACUACAACACCCUAGAUAAGACUCAAACCCAACCACAAGGAAUCGAUAGUUUAUGGACAACUGUUGCUGUGGAUUGUGCCUUAUGGUGGUUCUUUAGUAGACAGCAAAAUAAACAAACCAUAAUUAGAUUACUUAAAUUCAUAUGGAAACUUGAAUUAGACCAAAUCAUGUAUUGGCUCCAGAGAUGCCAUUCCCUUACAUCAAUGUUUUUGCCCACCUGUCUAGCUCUUGCCACCACAUUGUCUACUCCUACACCUUUUGUCAAUAUAAAAAGAUUAUUUAUACAUAAUACUAUAUAUAUAAAUACUAUAUAUAUGUGUAUGGUCCAUUCUCAUAUUAUUAUCUUAGUUACGGAGUUUAUUAAUUAGACUCUAAUAUUAUUACAUCUACCAUUCGUUGUCACUACUAUUUUUACAAAUAUAACAAAAACUAAUCGUCAUCUUCAAAAAAAAAAAAAUUGUCAUCUUCGUUCCCAAAUAAUAAAAUGCAAAAUGUAAAGAUAUAACUAUAAGUGUGUUUCCAAAAAUGUAAGUGUUAAUUUAAAUAUAAACUAAUGUUUACCACAUUUUAAAUUUAUAAUGUGCUCAGAGCACCUCAAAUUUAAGUAAUAAAAUAACUGUUCGAUGUCAAAAAAAUAAAAAAAAAAUAAAAAAAAUUUUAUAAUUGCAACUCAACUUAAAAGGUAUAAACGGAACCUAAUUUUGAAAGAGACCAAAUUAAUGUACAAAAAACAUCAUAAGUAAUUCAAAUAUGAUUGGUAUGUUACAUUUAUAAAUCCAAUAACAAAAUUUUAGUAAGGUGACUCAAACAGGCAUGUAAAAUACAAAUAAGGAUCGAGACAACUAAAAUAAAAACGAAGAACGGAAACGAUAGAGAUGCGUGAUGGGUUAAAUAAUGAAAAUGUUUGGUCUUUCAGUUGAUGACCAAUGCUAGAAUUCAAAGCAACUUACUUUCAAAGAUAAGUAUAUAUAUUAACAAUAAUUUAACUUAUUUUCGUGAAGUUGAUCUUUUUGCUUAUCAACCUAUUAGGCUAAAUUUUCAUUUUCAAUAAGAAGAUUAAUAAAAUUACAAGCAAGUUUAGCUAACCUACUAGUCAUUUCUGUCAAUAAGUUCUAUCGGUAAACAGUGACAAGCUAAAAUUUCACGAACACAUUCGGAUGGAAAAUAACUAUGCUAAUAUUUGAUGGCUGCUUA
rnacentral:lncRNA from 1 species